rnacentral:lncRNA from 1 species
CCUUGAUCCCUGAUAAUUUUAUGAUAUAGAAAGAGAGCCAUCAGUCAGUAUGAUUGUAGAGCCAGAUGGGUCAGUCAGUAUGAUUGUAUAGACAGAUGGGUCAGUCAGUAUGAUUGUAUAGACAGAUGGGUCAGUCAGUAUGAUUGUAGAGCCAGAUGGGUCAGUCAGUAUGAUUGUAGAGACAGAUGGGUCAGUCAGUAUGAUUGUAGAGCCAGAUGGGUCAGUCAGUAUGAUUGUAUAGACAGAUGGGUCAGUCAGUAUGAUUGUAGAGCCAGAUGGGUCAGUCAGUAUGAUUGUAUAGACAGAUGGGUCAGUCAGUAUGAUUGUAGAGACAGAUGGGUCAGUCAGUAUGAUUGUAUAGACAGAUGGGUCAGUCAGUAUGAUUGUAUAGACAGAUGGGUCAGUCAGUAUGAUUGCAUAUCCAGAUGGGUCAGUCAGUAUGAUUGUAGAGCCAGAUGGGUCAGUCAGUAUGAUUGUAGAGACAGAUGGGUCAGUCAGUAUGAUUGUAGAGACAGAUGGGUCAGUCAGUAUGAUUGUAUAGACAGAUGGGUCAGUCAGUAUGAUUGUAGAGACAGAUGGGUCAGUCAGUAUGAUUGCAUAUCCAGAUGGGUCAGUCAGUAUGAUUGUAGAGCCAGAUGGGUCAGUCAGUAUGAUUGUAGAGACAGAUGGGUCAGUCAGUAUGAUUGUAUAGACAGAUGGGUCAGUCAGUAUGAUUGUAGAGCCAGAUGGGUCAGUCAGUAUGAUUGUAUAGACAGAUGGGUCAGUCAGUAUGAUUGUAGAGCCAGAUGGGUCAGUCAGUAUGAUUGUAGAGCCAGAUGGGUCAGUCAGUAUGAUUGUAGAGCCAGAUGGGUCAGUCAGUAUGAUUGUAGAGCCAGAUGGGUCAGUCAGUAUGAUUGUAGAGACAGAUGGGUCAGUCAGUAUGAUUGUAGAGCCAGAUGGGUCAGUCAGUAUGAUUGUAGAGACAGAUGGGUCAGUCAGUAUGAUUGUAGAGACAGAUGGGUCAGUCAGUAUGAUUGUAGAGACAGAUGGGUCAGUCAGUAUGUUUGUAUAGCCAGAUGGGUCAGUCAGUAUGAUUGCAUAUCAGGCCUACAGGAAGUCUUCUGUCAUUUUGAAUACAGAACAUAAUGGAAUUAUGGAAACUUUUUUCUAGAAUUUCUUGAAAAUCAAUUAUACAGUUCAAUUCUGUUUCUGCUGAGUGUGAAGUUGGUGUCAGUGUGGGGAUUGUUACAGAGUCUACAGUAGUCUAGUGAAGUUGGUGUGAGUGUAGGGAGAGAUACAGAGUAUACUGUAGUCUAGUGGAGUUGGUGUGAGUGUUUUGGAGAGAUACAGAGUCUACUGUAGUCUAGUGGAGUUGGUGUGAGUGUGGGGAGAGAUACAGAGAAUACUGUAGUCUAGUGAAGUUGGUGUGAGUGUGGGGAGAGAUACAGAGUCUACUGUAGUCUAGUGAAGUUGGUGUGAGUGUAGGGAGAGAUACAGAGUCUACAGUAGUCUAGUGAAGUUGGUGUGAGUGUGGGGAGUAUAUACAGUGCCUUGCGAAAGUAUUCGG